AACGAACGCUGGCGGCAUGCCUAACACAUGCAAGUCGAACGAGACCUUCGGGUCUAGUGGCGCAAGGGUGCGUAACGCGUGGGAACCUGCCCUUAGGUUCGGAAUAACUCCCCGAAAGGGGUGCUAAUACCGGAUAAUGUCUUCGGACCAAAGAUUUAUCGCCUUUGGAUGGGCCCGCGUUGGAUUAGCUAGUUGGUAGGGUAAAAGCCUACCAAGGCGACGAUCCAUAGCUGGUCUGAGAGGAUGAUCAGCCACACUGGGACUGAGACACGGCCCAGACUCCUACGGGAGGAAGCAGUGGGGAAUAUUGGACAAUGGGCGAAAGCCUGAUCCAGCAAUGCCGCGUGAGUGAUGAAGGCCUUAGGGUUGUAAAGCUCUUUUACCCGGGAUGAUAAUGACAGUACCGGGAGAAUAAGCUCCGGCUAACUCCGUG
rnacentral:rRNA from 1 species